rnacentral:rRNA from 1 species
CCGGGAACUCAAAGGAGACUGCCAGUGAUAAACUGGAGGAAGGUGGGGAUGACGUCAAGUCAUCAUGGCCCUUACGACCAGGGCUACACACGUGCUACAAUGGCAUAUACAAAGAGAAGCGACCUCGCGAGAGCAAGCGGACCUCAUAAAGUAUGUCGUAGUCCGGAUUGGAGUCUGCAACUCGACUCCAUGAAGUCGGAAUCGCUAGUAAUCGUAGAUCAGAAUGCUACGGUGAAUACGUUCCCGGGCCUUGUACACACCGCCCGUCACACCAUGGGAGUGGGUUGCAAAAGAAGUAGGUAGCUUAACCUUCGGGAGGGCGCUUACCACUUUGUGAUUCAUGACUGGGGUGAAGUCGUAACAAGGUAACCGUAGGGGAACCUGCGGUUGGAUCACCUCCUU